UGGGGAAUAUUGCACAAUGGGCGCAAGCCUGAUGCAGCCAUGCCGCGUGUAUGAAGAAGGCCUUCGGGUUGUAAAGUACUUUCAGCGGGGAGGAAGGCGAUAAGGUUAAUAACCUUGUCGAUUGACGUUACCCGCAGAAGAAGCACCGGCUAACUCCGUGCCAGCAGCCGCGGUAAUACGGAGGGUGCAAGCGUUAAUCGGAAUUACUGGGCGUAAAGCGCACGCAGGCGGUCUGUCAAGUCAGAUGUGCAAUCCCCGGGCUCAACCUGGGAACUGCAUUCGAAACUGGCAGGCUAGAGUCGUGUAGAGGGGGGUAGAAUUCCAGGUGUAGCGGUGAAAUGCGUAGAGAUCUGGAGGAAUACCGGUGGCGAAGGCGGCCCCCUGGACAAAGACUGACGCUCAGGUGCGAAAGCGUGGGGAGCAAACA
rnacentral:rRNA from 1 species